AGUAUCGUAUUAACAAAAGCCACUAACGAUAACAACACAUUUGGAAUUUGUCAAUUCUAACAAAAUCAAAAACAAAAAUCGCGGAAGGUUCUAUGCGUCGUGAUACGAUGAAAGCAACGAAACGUUAUACGAAAUAUAGGGAGUAUGACGCUUUGGCAGUAGUAAUUGUGCGCUUCAUUCAAACGCAACGGUGAAAUAUCUUUCAAAGUAUUUCGAAAUUAUUCUUCGUAAGAUCUAAAUGACUGAUAGAGGAUUAGCAUUCUUUGCCGGACGCAGUAAAAGCAGCCGCUCUAUAUCUCACUUCAUGUAACAGGUUCGAGAGCAAAGGAAAGUAAAAACUCGUAAUCAAACAAUAGUCGACCAGCUCAUAAGGCACAUAUUUGACGUUGCGGCAGACUGUGGGGCUUUGGUUAAGUGAAAUCCUCGAGGGUUAUUAAAGAAUGGUAGCUCUUCGAAUUACGGGUCAUCUGAGCAGAAGAAGGAAGCACGUGCAACUGUCUGUGUUUGUAUGACCGUCUAUGCGUCGAUGUGAGUGUGCUUGUGCGCGUAAGCUAAAUCCUAAAGAGAAUAGAUGAUCCAUCAGGAUUCAGACCCUUGCUCCAUUUUCGGUGCAGACAAACUCUGAGUCGUGUCAGCGUCUUUGUGGAGGCUUAUGCGAUCUACCUACUGCAAGGCCACACACACAAUAUGGCCGAAGAGAGCUAGUGCCUAUCUUACAUUAGAACUUGGCAUUUACUGUGAGAAUUUCAAAGAAUCUUUUUAGGUUUUAAAGCAAACUCGUAUCCAUGCCAAUGCAUUUUUUGCACGUUACAUCAUCGUUCGAUUACUGAAGAAAAGAGAAACAGACUCCACUCUUCUUCGCCGACUGCAGCAGCCUUAUCAUCCCUCAGGUCCUAUCGAUACCGUCUCUUAUAGCCAGCUACUUAGACAGCAGGGGGUGCCGAAUGCAUUUCAAUCAGGGAUGGGGGUAGGCUUGUGGGGAGAUGCGCACCUACGGUGGCAAUAGAUCUACUCAGAUCUCUCGCAGAUAGGUUCCCUCCCGAUAGCCGUCAAAUCGACACCUUCUGUCAUCGCCCGCGUAGACCGCAGUGCAGUCGGACCGCGCCAUCAACACCACCAAGAAAUAAAGGAAACUACUCUAAAAGAGAUUUCAAUAGAGAAAAGAAGAUGAGUCUUAGGAAGACAUAGAUCGAACGAAAUAGAGAACAGGCGCAAGCCCGGAGCGAUGGCAAAGGAACUAACUGAAAACUGACCUACAGAGAUGACAUAGCCUGCCACUGCAGCGGUUCGAGCUGUUUCUGGAUUCGAACUUCUGUCACGAAGGAGUCGGCCCGAGUUCCAACCCGACUCUGUCAUUUGACAAUGCCAAUGUCCGUACGCCUUGGCGAGGUGUACAAUAUAGAAACUGCCGCUCCUGCUGCUGCCGCCCGCCGCCGCGAACAAAACACCCGUGCGGACCUCCCGCAGUGAUGGCCGCGUCUUCACCCACGAAUUCAUACGAGUUUAAUUCAAAGUCAUCGAAAAAUACGGACAGGCAGAGAUCCUCGACCGCACUAACCUCGAAUCGGAUGCGACUGGUAACGCUACGAGCAGCG
rnacentral:lncRNA from 1 species